AAAUGUAGUCGAAAAAGGUUAAUCGCAAGAAGUCAGCAAAAGCCAUAGUAGUGAAGAAAUUCACGAAGGGC
rfam:Domibacillus enclensis strain NIO-1016 genome assembly, contig: Ga0061089_111